UGGGGAAUGGCUGGACCAGUCUCAACUUCGUGCCUAGACCUUGUCAGCAUGCGAACCAGGAGGCUGGGAAGCAAUUCUCACCCCCUGCAUCCAGCAGGGCCAGAGGAUCAGAACACAUGAAUUGCAAGAGCAGCCUGUCUCCAGGAGUACUUGUGCCUCAAAGACAGCAGCAAGAUUUCCAAGGUGUGGAGACAGAAAUGCCAAGCGUGAUGUCAGCAGGCAGCAGUACAUGGCAC